CACACACACUCACUGAUACACAGAGAGACCUUGACACACAGAUACACAUAGAUACCCACACUGACACAUACACACACAGACAGUGGUGUAUUUAGGUUUUGUGCUGCCCUAGGCAUGAUUAAACUUGGGCACCCCUAAUCUAAAUUUGCCCCACCCCUACCGGUCAAGGCCGCUCCUCUUCCUGAUUAAGACUGCACCCCUUCCUCUUUAGACUCCACCUUUUCCUACUCCUUUAGAAAGGGAUACUAUAGUGCAAGGAAAG